rnacentral:rRNA from 1 species
GACGAACGCUGGCGGCGUGCCUAAUACAUGCAAGUAGAACGCUGAAGGAGGAGCUUGCUUCUCUGGAUGAGUUGCGAACGGGUGAGUAACGCGUAGGUAACCUGCCUGGUAGCGGGGGAUAACUAUUGGAAACGAUAGCUAAUACCGCAUAAGAGUAGAUGUUGCAUGACAUUUGCUUAAAAGGUGCAAUUGCAUCACUACCAGAUGGACCUGCGUUGUAUUAGCUAGUUGGUGGGGUAACGGCUCACCAAGGCGACGAUACAUAGCCGACCUGAGAGGGGGAGGGGCCACACUGGGACUGAGAAACGGCCCAGACGGCUACGGGAGGCGGCAGUAGGGAAUAUUCGGCAAUGGACGGAAGUCUGACCGAGAAACGCCGAGGAAGUUAAGAAGGUUUUCGGAUCUUAAAGCUCGAUUGUAAGAGAAGAACGAGUGUGUGAGUGGGAAGUUCACGAUGUGACGGUAUCUUACCAAGAAGGGACGGCUAACUACGUG